rnacentral:rRNA from 1 species
UACGUAGGUGGCGAGCGUUGUCCGGAUUUACUGGGCGUAAAGAGCGCGCAGGCGGUCGUUCAAGUCGCGUGUGAAAGCCCCCGGCUCAACUGGGGAGGGUCACGCGAUACUGAUCGACUCGAAGGCAGGAGAGGGUAGUGGAAUUCCCGGUGUAGUGGUGAAAUGCGUAGAUAUCGGGAGGAACACCAGUGGCGAAGGCGACUACCUGGCCUGUUUCUUGACGCUGAGGCGCGAAAGCUAGGGGAGCGAACGGG